UGUAGAUGUACAUAAUCUGAUACCUUCACUGUUGAGAAAUGGUUUUACCUCACAAUGAAAGAAGGCUCAAUGAACAUGUAACUUAUACUACUUACAAAGAUUACUUUGUAUCACAAUUGUAUCCCCAAAUAGGAGCAGUAAGAAAAGGUUCAAACUGCCUAAGCAAAUUGUUUCUUUGUAUUAACAAAGUAUCUAUUCAUACUUAACCUGGCAACAAGCACAUCAAAUUUAAUUAAGGUUUGCUAGAAUUUCUUCAUCAAUUAGGUAAACUUUCUUUCCAAUAAAAGUUUGAAGAGGUUAACAUUUUAAAAUCUUAAAAAAAAAACCUGCUUAAAAGAAACUUUCAUCUGUUCAGAAAAAAGUAAUUCUUAUGAUAAAAAACCACCUAAACCUAACUCCUACUCCUCUGCUUUUGACAGACUUUUUCAGAUUAAUUUAUAUGAGAAGAACAAUUCUCCAAGUUUAAUCUUAGUACAAAAUUUUGGGUUUUGAUCAUUUGAAUUUUAUUAUGGGGUCUUAGAUUAGCUGUAUUUCCUUUAGCAUGAUCUCAAAAAUACAACCACAAUAACAAAUUUAGGAGGAGAUUCAAACAUGGUUUCUCUUACUCAUAGGGUACAAAGGACCAAGAAAAUGU
rnacentral:lncRNA from 1 species